CCGUUCAGGGGUAAACCUGAGAAACCCAAAAGAUCGAAUGAGGAGAUUCAUCGUCGAUUUGUACGGCUUUCGUGCGGUUUGCGAUUCUGCGCCUCGUGCGUUGGAACGUGAUCGCUGCGAAUGUCCGUUGUAAUCGGCGUGCACUUCUCCUCUAGUAGGACGUCGCGACCCGUUGGGUGUCGGCCUACGGCCCGAAUGGUCGACUGUCGCGUCGCUCGCGUCGCGGCAGACCUUCGGUCGCCUGGCCGGCUGCUCGGCGGUAUCUCUGUCUUCGGACCGUCGCAUUUAAUGCGUUUCAGCUCGUCCGCGGGUUUGUCUCGUUCGGAUCAUCGGACCUAGCGCCGUUGCCGGGCGCUUGACGAAUUCCGUUGCGACGGGCAUCGUGAAACGGACGGUUACCGAUCGGCGACGCUUUUGCUUUGGGUACUUUCAGGACCCGUCUUGAAACACGGACCAAGGAGUCUAACAUGUGCGCGAGUCAUUGGGAGUUACACAAAACCUAAAGGCGCAAUGAAAGUAAAGGUUUGGUCGCUUCGCGCGCACCUACCGAGGGAGGAUGGUUUGCGUCACGAUGCAAACUCGCACUCCCGGGGCGUCUCGUGCUCAUUGCGAGCAGAGGCGCACCCAGAGCGUACACGUUGGGACCCGAAAGAUGGUGAACUAUGCCUGGUCAGGACGAAGUCAGGGGAAACCCUGAUGGAGGUCCGUAGCGAUUCUGACGUGCAAAUCGAUCGUCGGAACUGGGUAUAGGGGCGAAAGACUAAUCGAACCAUC
rnacentral:rRNA from 11 species